GAAACAAGUAUCUUAAAGAUUGAAUGUGAGUGAAAUGAUAUAAUUUAAUAAAAAUAAUUUUAAAUGUGUGUGUUGAAGUAUAUUUUAUAGAAAAGAUUGAUUAUUUUAUAGUGUAGUAGUAUUGUGAAAGAUGGUUGAAAUAACAGAAAAUUGAUUUAUUUAAAAGUAAUUGUAUAAUGUACCUUGUGUAUUAGGGUUAAUUAAGAUUAUAUUAUAAAUAGUAAUUAUUCUCGAUUUAAAGUGAGUAAUAAUAUUAAAAAUUAAAAUGUUGAACAAUUUUAUUGAAUAAUAUUAUGGGAAUGAAAUGUUAACGAACUUUAAAAUAUCUAGUUAUCUAAGAAGUGAAUUUAAUUCAGAUAUUAAUUUAUUACUUAUUAUUAGUUAUGAGUAAUAUUCUUAAUAUUACUAAUUAAGGGGAUUAGCUCUUGAUUAUAAUUAAUAAUUAUUUUUAUAGAAAUGAAAAAUUAGACUUUAAAGUAGUUAGAUUUUUGGUGUGUUAUAACUUAUUUAAAUAGAAAUUAAAUUUAGUGAUAAUUUUAAUGUUAUAUUAGAUUAAUUUUGUUAAUUAUUAUGAAGUGAAAUAAUGAUUAAAUUAGUAUAAAAGUUAUUUAUGUAGUUAUGUGAAAGUAAAAUUAUGAUAAGGAAUUCGGCAAAAUUAAUGCUCGCCUGUUUAACAAAAACAUGUCUUUUUGUUUAUUUAUAAAGUCUGGCCUGCCCACUGAAGUUUAAAGGGCCGCGGUAUUUUGACUGUGCAAAGGUAGCAUAAUCAUUAGUCUUUUAAUUGAGGACUGGAAUGAAUGGUUGGACGAGGUAUUAACUGUCUCAUUAUAAAAUUUAGAAGUUAAUUUUUUAGUGAAAAAGCUGAAAUAAGUAUAGAGGACGAGAAGACCCUAUAAAGUUUAAUAUAAGGUUAAUUAUAAUAAAUUUAGUUGAAUAUAGUUAUUGUUAUUAUUAUAUUUAGUUGGGGUGACUUAAAGAAUUACUAAACUCUUUAUAAAUUUAAACUAUUAUGUUAGGACAAUUGAUCCAUUAAUUGGUGAUUAGAAGAUUAAAUUACUUUAGGGAUAACAGCGUGAUUUUCUUUGAGAGUUCUUAUCGACAAGAAAGAUUGCGACCUCGAUGUUGAAUUAAGAAUAUUAAUGGGUGUAGAAGUUCAUUAAAUAAGUCUGUUCGACUUUUAAAUUCUUACAUGAUUUGAGUUCAGACCGGCGUGAGCCAGGUCGGUUUCUAUCCUUAUAAUGAUAAAACAUUUUAGUACGAAAGGACCAAAUGUUAAAUAUAUUAUUUAUUGAGGAAUAAUAGUAAACUAUUU
rnacentral:rRNA from 1 species